rnacentral:rRNA from 1 species
AUUGAACGCUGGCGGCAUGCUUUACACAUGCAAGUCGAACGGUAACAGGCCUUCGGGUGCUGACGAGUGGCGAACGGGGGAGUAAUGCAUCGGAACGUGCCCAGAGGUGGGGGAUAACGCAGCGAAAGCUGUGCUAAUACCGCAUGUGAUCUGAGGAUGAAAGCGGGGGACCAAGCAGCAAUGUUUGGCCUCGCGCCUCUGGAGCGGCCGAUGUCAGAUUAGGUAGUUGGUGGGGUAAAGGCCUACUAAGCCGACGAUCUGUAGCUGGUCUGAGAGGACGACCAGCCACACUGGGACUGAGACACGGCCCAGACUCCUACGGGAGGCAGCAGUGGGGAAUUUUGGACAAUGGGCGCAAGCCUGAUCCAGCAAUGCCGCGUGCGGGAAGAAGGCCUUCGGGUUGUAAACCGCUUUUGUACGGAACGAAAAGGCUCUGGCUAAUACCUGGGGCUGAUGACGGUACCGUAAGAAUAAGCACCGGCUAACUACGUG